rnacentral:rRNA from 1 species
UACACUCCUACGGGAGGCAGCAGUGGGGAAUUUUGGACAAUGGGCGAAAGCCUGAUCCAGCAAUGCCGCGUGUGUGAAGAAGGCCUUCGGGUUGUAAAGCACUUUUGUCCGGAAAGAAAUCCUUGGCUCUAAUACAGUCGGGGGAUGACGGUACCGGAAGAAUAAGCACCGGCUAACUACGUGCCAGCAGCCGCGGUAAUACGUAGGGUGCGAGCGUUAAUCGGAAUUACUGGGCGUAAAGCGUGCGCAGGCGGUUUGCUAAGACCGAUGUGAAAUCCCCGGGCUCAACCUGGGAACUGCAUUGGUGACUGGCAGGCUAGAGUAUGGCAGAGGGGGGUAGAAUUCCACGUGUAGCAGUGAAAUGCGUAGAGAUGUGGAGGAAUACCGAUGGCGAAGGCAGCCCCCUGGGCCAAUACUGACGCUCAUGCACGAAAGCGUGGGGAGCAAACAGGAUUAGAAACCCCGGUAGUCC